GCGGCCCCUCCUGUGUUUGUCGGCCGGUGACCCACCCCAGCCCCGGGGAAGGGAUGAGGGCGGCCGCGCUUCAGGCCGGGCCGCGCGGUCUCCCCUGCACCGCCGCCCCCUGGACGAGGGCUGGACCCAAGGCGGUGGUCAGGGACCUCAGAACACAAGUAGAACCAGUCCAGGCCCGGGCCCGCGCUGCCCGGUUGUAGGGGUUGCAUUGGAAGAUGGGCCAGCGGCAGAGCGGAGCAUGCAGGAAAGAGGAAGAGGCCUUGGACCUGCAGCCCAGGUCGGAUUUGGUGGUUACUGUCUAAAUCUGAAGCUUUGGCCUGCCUUGACUCCCCACCCACCCAGGGCAGCUUGGACCUCUCUCUAGCCACCCUUGUCCCGAGGGGUCUGAGUGUCUCCCAGACUAAACUGGGCAUUUUCUGCAGUGGAAGGAUAAAAAUGGAAGCGUUUACGCGCCUCCCAGACACUGGUAUUAGGGCUCAAGAGCUCUACAGAUUGCCUGGGGAGGUAGGGGUGGAAGGGGUUCAGUUCCUCACUUGGAGUUAGCUCUUAGAAGCUCAGAAGAGUGGAGGCGAAGAGGGGACAUUCAGCCUGGGAGAUCUGGGGCAGCGGGAAGUGGGGAUACCGGGUCGGGGUGAAGGCAAGCAGCAGCACCCCCAGCAUGGGGAAGAAGGCCUGAGGCUGUCUCUGGCCACUGCAUCUCUAGGCCUUCUCUUGGAGCGGGAGGUGGCUGGGUUUCCAGGGAAUUUUGUGUGAGUAAAAUUUUCCCAUGUCAUUGGAGAGUUAGGAAGAGCUCCUCUUUUGGGGCCUUUUUCCAAGCGGGUCCCCCUCACCCCGCUACAGGCUUCUUGUCACUCAGGCUUCAAUAAAGGCCAUUCUGGGGGCUGCUUGCUGUAACCUAGAAGACAGAAUUGCCUAGGAUCAUUAGUAGAGUCAUUUUUUUUUUUUCCUACUCUACAGGCCAAUUAAUUUGAAACAAGCUUCUAUGGUCUUUUAACUGUUAGCAUCACC
rnacentral:lncRNA from 1 species